UGCGUAGGUGGCUUCUUAAGUCAGAGGUGAAAGGCUACGGCUCAACCGUAGUAAGCCUUUGAAACUGGGAAACUUGAGUGCAGGAGAGGAGAGCGGAAUUCCUAGUGUAGCGGUGAAAUGCGUAGAUAUUAGGAGGAACACCAGUUGCGAAGGCGGCUCUCUGGACUGUAACUGACACUGAGGCACGAAAGCGUGGGGAGCAAACA
rnacentral:rRNA from 1 species